GAUCAUGGCUAAGGACGAACGCUGGCGGCGUGCUUAACACAUGCAAGUCGAACGAAGAGCGAUGGAAGCUUGCUUCUAUCAAUCUUAGUGGCGAACGGGUGAGUAACGCGUAAUCAACCUGCCCUUCAGAGGGGGGACAACAGUUGGAAACGACUGCUAAUACCGCAUACGAUCUAACCUCGGCAUCGAGGAUAGAUGAAAGGUGGCCUCUAUUUAUAAGCUAUCACUGAAGGAGGGG
rnacentral:rRNA from 1 species